UAUUAUUAUUAUUAUUUUUAUUUUUAUUGUUAUUAUUAUUCAGAGAGUGAGAAAAGUCUUCAACAUCUUGUGAAACAGUUCAGAGGAAUAGGACUGAGUAUGAAUACAGGGGAAAGAAAGUAUUGAACAAAAAAUAUCUAUAACAAUAAGUUAUUUCUUAUCUUUUAAAAAUAGAUAUGUAAGAAGCUCUUCUUGUUCCUAUACAGUAUCAGAAAUGGUACUUACAGGAACUUGAGGAGGCAUUUCCUUCAAAAUGGAAUAAAACCUAGGGUUCAUGGGAACACUGGUCGCAUUCCUUGUCAUGCUGUUUCUGUGGAAGGCAUUAAAGAUGUGGUAGCAUUUUUGGAGAACUAUGCUGAAGACUACGCCAUUUUACUACCUGGGAGGAUACCUGGAGUGAGGGAUUAUGGGAAGGCCAAGCUAUUGCUGUCCAGUGUGUCCCGACGCAUGGUUUACCGGCAGUAUGCUGAUGCUGGUAGGGAACAUACUCUCUGUGAAAGUUCCUUUAAAAGAAUAUGGAGAAAGUAUGUUCCCCACAUUUACAGCAUCAAGCCAAUGACGAACUUAUGCUGGACGUGCAAAAAGAACAGCACUGCAAUUUUAAGGAAUGCUGGAGGUGAGAUUGAGCAUCAGUCUGAGAAGAAAAAGAGACAUCAUAGGGGUAAAUGGAAACAUUGACGAGGUGGCGGGAGAGGAGCAGGAAGAGGAGGUGGCCAAGGAGGAGGAGAUGGACAAAGAAGAGGGGCAGCUGGCCAAGGAAGCGGGGGAGGUGGCCAAGGAAGAGAGGGAGGUGGCCAAGGAAGAGGCCAAAGAGGAAGAGGAGGCCCUGCUACAACAGAUUCAUCCACAAGUGCAAAGACAAUAAA
rnacentral:lncRNA from 1 species